rnacentral:rRNA from 1 species
AGAGCGAACGCUGGCGGCAGGCUUAACACAUGCAAGUCGAGCGGGCGUAGCAAUACGUCAGCGGCAGACGGGUGAGUAACGCGUGGGAACGUACCUUUGGUUCGGAACAACACAGGGAAACUUGUGCUAAUACCGGAUAAGCCCUUACGGGGAAAGAUUUAUCGCCGAAAGAUCGGCCCGCGUCUGAUUAGCUAGUUGGUGAGGUAACGGCUCACCAAGGCGACGAUCAGUAGCUGGUCUGAGAGGAUGAUCAGCCACAUUGGGACUGAGACACGGCCCAAACUCCUACGGGAGGCAGCAGUGGGGAAUAUUGGACAAUGGGCGCAAGCCUGAUCCAGCCAUGCCGCGUGAGUGAUGAAGGCCCUAGGGUUGUAAAAGCUCUUUUGUGCGGGAAGAUAAUGACGGUACCGCAAGAAUAAGCCCCGGCUAACUUCGCGCCAGCAGCCGC